UACAGAGGUCUCAAGCGUUGUUCGGAUUCAUUGGGCGUAAAGGGUGCGUAGGCGGCGCGGUAAGUCGGGUGUGAAAUCUCGGAGCUUAACUCCGAAACUGCAUUCGAUACUGCCGUGCUUGAGGACUGGAGAGGAGACUGGAAUUUACGGUGUAGCGGUGAAAUGCGUAGAUAUGUGGAGGAAUACCGAUGGCGAAGGCAGCCCCCUGGGAUAACACUGACGCUCAUGCACGAAAGCGUGGGGAGCAAACAGG
rnacentral:rRNA from 1 species